AGCCCUGGACUGUGACUCUGCCUAAAGCUGAACAUAGCUUGGUUUACUAAACAGUGAACUGGGCUAUGUGAAACUGAUAACUGCUGUUGUACUAUAUGUGCGGUAAGUAUACAUACAGAAUGUGAGUAUUUACCCCACUGACCUGUAUUUGUCACCCCUUACUUUCUGACUAUCACUCCACUUCCUUCUCUCCUCACCCCCCUAGCUGUACCUCUGCCUCCAUUAACCAU